UACAGAGGUCUCAAGCGUUGUUCGGAUUCAUUGGGCGUAAAGGGUGCGUAGGCGGCGCGGUAAGUCGGGUGUGAAAUCUCGGAGCUUAACUCCGAAGCUGCAUUCGAUACUGCCGUGCUUGAGGACUGGAGAGGAGACUGGAAUUUACGGUGUAGCGGUGAAAUGCGUAGAUAUCAUCUGGAACGCCAAUGGUGAAAACAGCUCGCUGGGGGUUUGCAGACGCUGAGACACGAAAGCCAGGGGAGCGAACGGG
rnacentral:rRNA from 1 species